CCUACGGGAGGCAGCAGUAGGGAAUCUUCGACAAUGGGCGAAAGCCUGAUGGAGCAAAGCCGCGUGGGUGAAGAAGGUCCUAGGAUUGUAAAACCUCGUUGUUAGAGAAGAAAGGGCGUGAGCGUAACUGUUCAUGUUUCGACGGUAUCAAACCAGAAAGGCACGGCUAAUUACGUCACAGCAGCCGCGGUAAUACGUAGGUGGCAAGCGUUAUUCGGAUUUGUUGGGCGUAAAGGGAACGGAGGCGGUCUUUUAAGUCUGAUGUGAAAGGCUUCGGCUUAACCGGAGUAGUGCAUUGGAAACUGGGAGACUUGAGUGCAGAAGAGGUGAGUGGAACUCGAUGUGUAGCGGUGAAAUGCGUAGAUAUAUGGAAGAACUCCGGUGGCGAAAGCAGCUCUCUGGUCUGUCACUGACGCUGAGGUUCGAAAGCGUGGGUAUCAAACAGGAUUAGAUACCCGGGUAGUC
rnacentral:rRNA from 1 species